GAUGAACGCUGGCGGUAUGCUUAACACAUGCAAGUCGAACGGUCUCUUCGGAGAUAGUGGCGGACGGGUGAGUAACGCGUAAGAAUCUACCUACAGGUUCGGGACAACAGUUAGAAAUGACUGCUAAUACCGGAUGUGCCGAGAGGUGAAAGCUUUAGUGCCUGUAGAUGAGCUUGCGUCCGAUUAGCUAGAUGGUGGGGUAACGGCCUACCAUGGCGACGAUCGGUAGCUGGUCUGAGAGGAUGACCAGUCACACUGGAACUGAGACACGGUCCAGACUCCUACGGGAGGCAGCAGUGGGGAAUUUUCCGCAAUGGGCGAAAGCCUGACGGAGCAAUACCGCGUGAGGGACGAAGGUCUGUGGAUUGUAAACCUCUUUUGUUGGGGAAGAUAAUGACGGUACCCAACGAAUAAGCAUCGGCUAACUCCGUGCCAGCAGCCGCGGUAAGACGGAGGAUGCAAGCGUUAUCCGGAAUUAUUGGGCGUAAAGCGUACGUAGGCUGUUUCAUAAGUCUGUUGUCAAAGCGCGAGGCUCAACCUUGUAAAGGCAAUGGAAACUGCGAGACUAGAGAGAGAUAGGGGCAGGAGGAAUUCCAGGUGUAGCGGUGAAAUGCGUAGAUAUCUGGAAGAACACCAGUGGCGAAAGCGUCCUGCUGGAUCUCAACUGACGCUGAAGUACGAAAGCUAGGGGAGCGAAUGGGAUUAGAUACCCCAGUAGUCCUAGCCGUAAACGAUGGGUACUAGGUGUUGGUCGUAUCGACCCGA
rnacentral:rRNA from 1 species